GACGAACCGUCCAAACGUUAUUCGGAAUCACUGGGCUUACAGAGUUCGUAGGCGGUCUGGAAAGUUGGGUGUGAAAUCCCUCGGCUCAACCGAGGAACUGCGCUUGAAACUACCAGACUCGAGGGAGAUAGAGGAAAGCGGAACCGAUGGUGGAGCGGUGAAAUGCGUUGAUAUCAUCAGGAACACCGGUGGCGAAGGCGGCUUCUGGGUCUUACCUGACGCUGAGGAACGAAAGCCAGGGGAGCGAAACGGG
rnacentral:rRNA from 1 species